AUUAGCAGCAUGGCUUCGUCACAAGCGCAUAUGCACGAUUUUGUGGUUUAAACUGCUGUGACUCAAAGUUGUUUUGUUUUUCUUUCUCAACAGUGAUGGAUUUUACUGGCUGGGAGCGCUGAGCACACGUUUGGCCUUAUCGAAUGAAACAGCGCUGGAAUAUUUCACGUUGGCGUCUUCACUGUGAAUUGGGUUCUUUUGCCUCUAAUACACAAAGAGACAUGAGGUCACAUUAAGUUCAUAAUGAAGUG
rnacentral:lncRNA from 1 species